rnacentral:rRNA from 1 species
ACCAGACUCCUACGGGAGGCAGCAGUGGGGAAUAUUGCACAAUGGGGGAAACCCUGAUGCAGCGACGCCGCGUGAGUGAAGAAGUAUUUCGGUAUGUAAAGCUCUAUCAGCAGGGAAGAAGAUGACGGUACCUGAGUAAGAAGCCCCGGCUAACUACGUGCCAGCAGCCGCGGUAAUACGUAGGGGGCAAGCGUUAUCCGGAUUUACUGGGUGUAAAGGGAGCGUAGACGGUGAGACAAGUCUGAAGUGAAAGCCCGGGGCUCAACCCCGGGACUGCUUUGGAAACUGCCUGACUGGAGUGCUGGAGAGGCAAGCGGAAUUCCUAGUGUAGCGGUGAAAUGCGUAGAUAUUAGGAAGAACACCAGUGGCGAAGGCGGCUUGCUGGACAGUAACUGACGUUGAGGCUCGAAAGCGUGGGGAGCAAACAGGAUUAGAUACCCGAGUAUU